AUGGCGCUACCCCCUGCCCUCCUCCUCCUCCUCCUCCUCCAGCUGCUCUGCCUCUUGCUGCUCGGCGCGGGCGCGGCGCUGCACGAGCGCGACGCGGCGGCGCUCCGGGACGUGCGGGCCGGCCUGCGGGACCUGCCGGGGUCGCGCUUCUUCGAGUCCUGGGACGACGACGCGUCCGCCCCGUGCGCCUACGCCGGCGUCGUGUGCGCGCCCGACGAGGACGACCCGUCCGGCGCGCUCCUCCGCGUGUCGGUGCUCACGCUCGGCACCGGCCUCUCCGACUCCCCCGGCAUGGCCGGCAGCGUCCCGGCCUCGCUCGCCAGCCUCACCGCGCUCACCGACCUCGUCCUCUACCCGGGCCGUGUCGGCGGCUCCAUCCCGGAGGGCAUUGGGUCGGGUCUCCGGCGCCUCAGGCUCCUCUCGCUGUCCGGGAACCAGCUCACCGGGCCCGUGCCCGAGUCCCUGGCGGGGCUGCCGGAACUGCACACGCUCGACCUCGGCAACAACCGCCUCGAGGGCACGAUUCCCUCCGGGCUGCUGCUGCCGUCGUCCCCGAGCCUCAAGGUGCUCAUCCUGGCCAACAAUGUCGGCCUCUCCGGGCAGAUUCCCGACCAGUUUCCCAGCUCGCAGCUGUUCCACGUCGACCUGAGCCGGAACGCGAUAACCGGCACGCUCCCGCCGCUGCCACCGACGAUCCGGUACUUCUCCGUAGCCGGGAACUCGAUGGAGGGGAGCCUCGACGGAGCCUUCGCCGGCAACGGCCAGGGCCCAGCCGACCUGGCAUUCCUCGACCUGUCGAUGAACGACUUCUCGGGCUCGAUCCCGCCGGAGGUGUUCGCGCUCCCGAGCGCGUCGUCGCUGCUCCUGUCCCGCAACAACUUCACGGGGUCGCUGGCCGUGCCGGCGGCGCCCGCGUCGGCGACGCCGCCGUGGUCAGUGGUGGACGUCAGCCACAACGGCCUCACGGGCGAGGUCCCGGAGGCGCUGGCGGCGGCGGGGAGCCUGUACGUGAACAACAACAAGAUCUCCGGCGAGGUCCCGGAGGCGGUGGCCCGCAGCGUGUUCGACGGGCGCAUGACGACCUUCUACGCGCAGCACAACUUCCUGACGGGGUUCCCGGUGCCGCCGACGCCGCUGCCGGACUCCGCGGCGCUGUGCCUCUCCUACAACUGCAUGGACCUCCCCUCCGCCUCCGCGGCCGACGGGUGCCCCACGAUCGGCGGGCCCCUGGAGUCCAGGCCCGCGGACCAGUGCCGGAGCAGCGGCGGCGACGGCUGA
rnacentral:rRNA from 1 species